rnacentral:rRNA from 1 species
UACGUAGGGACCAAGCGUUGUUCGGAUUUACUGGGCGUAAAGGGCGCGUAGGCGGCAUAUUAAGUCAGCUGUGAAAUCUCCGAGCUUAACUCGGAACUGUCAGCUGAUACUGAUGUGCUAGAGUGCAGAAGGGGCAAUCGGAAUUCUUGGUGUAGCGGUGAAAUGCGUAGAUAUCAAGAGGAAUACCUGAGGUGAAGACGGGUUGCUAGGCCGACACUGACGCUGAAGCGCGAAAGCCAGGGGAGCAAACGGG